rnacentral:ncRNA from 1 species
CGCUGAACCACUUUCUUGCGUGGUAUUGUGAACUGAAACUGUUCACAUGAAACUGGAAUUUCCAGUAAGUGUGAGUCAUUAACUCGCAUUGAUUACGUCCCUGCACUUUGCACACACCGCCCGUCGCUACUAAUGAUUAAAUUAUUUAGUGAGGUCUCCGGACGUGAUCACUGUGACGCUUCUAGUGUUACGGUUGUUUCGCAAAAGUUGACCGAACUUGAUUACCAUGUCACUUCAGAACCCUAAUAAAUGGAGUCCAUUG